GACGAACGCUGGCGGCGCGCUUAACACAUGCAAGUCGAACGGAAAGGCCUGCUUUCCCUUGUGGAUUGCGGGUACUCGAGUGGCGAUCGGGUGAGUAACACGUGAGUGAUCUGCCCCCAACUUGGGUAUAAGCCUGGGAAACUGGGUCUAAUUCCCGAUAGGACUGCAGGGUGGUGCCUGUGGUGGAAAACGAUUUUCUAGUGGUUGGGGAUGAGCUCGCGGCCUAUCAGCUUGUUGGUGGGGUAAUGGCCUACCAAGGCGGCGACGGGUAGCCGGCCUGGGAGGGUGGACGGCCACAUUGGGACUGAGAUACGGCCCAGACUCCUACGGGAGGCAGCAGUGGGGAAUAUUGCACAAUGGGCGGAAGCCUGAUGCAGCGACGCCGCGUGGGGGAUGACGGCCUUCGGGUUGUAAACUCCUUUCGACCGCGAGGAAGCCACCUGGUUGGAAGGGUGGUGACGGUAGUGGUAGAAGAAGCACCGGCUAACUACGUG
rnacentral:rRNA from 1 species